AGAGUUUGAUUAUGGCUCAGAUUGAACGCUGGCGGAAUGCUUUACACAUGCAAGUCGAACGGUAGAGGGGGUAACCCCUUGAGAGUGGCGAACGGGUGAGUAAUAUAUCGGAACGUGCCCAGUCGUGGGGGAUAACGUAGCGAAAGUUACGCUAAUACCGCAUACGAUCUAAGGAUGAAAGCGGGGGAUCGCAAGACCUCGCGCGAUUGGAGCGGCCGAUAUCAGAUUAGGUAGUUGGUGGGGUAAAGGCUCACCAAGCCAACGAUCUGUAGCUGGUCUGAGAGGACGACCAGCCACACUGGAACUGAGACACGGUCCAGACUCCUACGGGAGGCAGCAGUGGGGAAUUUUGGACAAUGGACGAAAGUCUGAUCCAGCCAUUCCGCGUGCAGGAUGAAGGCCCUCGGGUUGUAAACUGCUUUUGUACGGAACGAAAAGGUUUCUAUUAAUACUAGGAGCUCAUGACGGUACCGUAAGAAUAAGCACCGGCUAACUACGUGCCAGCAGCCGCGGUAAUACGUAGGGUGCAAGCGUUAAUCGGAAUUACUGGGCGUAAAGCGUGCGCAGGCGGUUAUAUAAGACAGAUGUGAAAUCCCCGGGCUCAA
rnacentral:rRNA from 1 species